rnacentral:lncRNA from 1 species
CUUUUAGCUGCAGUGGAGCUUUUUAACCGUGAUUGGAGAUACCACAAAGAAGAACGAGUAUGGAUUACCAGGGCACCAGGCAUGGAGCCAACAAUGAAAACCAAUACCUAUGAGAGGGGAACAUAUUACUUCUUUGACUGUCUUAACUGGAGGAAAGUAGCUAAGGAGUUCCAUCUGGAAUAUGACAAAUUAGAAGAACGGCCUCACCUGCCAUCCACCUUCAACUACAACCCUGCUCAGCAAGCCUUCUAAAAAAAAAAAAAAAAAAAAAAAAAGACUUCCCUUUUCUUGGGGUAUGGCUGUCUCAGCACAAUACUCAACAUAACUGCAGAACUGAUGUGGCUCAGGCACCCUGGUUUUAAUUCCUUGAGGAUCUGGCAAUUGGCUUACGCAAAAGGUCACCAUUUGAGACAGACUUGAGUCUGUAAAGACAAGCAAAUACACUGACAGAAGUUUACCAUAGUUUCUAAAAUGUAAAAAAGAAAACCCCCAAAAGACUCAAGAAAAUUAGACCACAAAUUUUGCAUUGUUCAUUGUAGCACUAUUGGUAAUAAAAUAACAAAUGUUUGUGCAUUUUUAUGUGAAGAUCCUUCUCGUAUUUCAUUUGGAAAGAUGAGCAAGAGGUCUGCUUCCUUCAUUUUACUUCCCCUUCUGUUUUUGAAAGGCAGUUUCGCCAAGCUUAAUGCAAGAAUAUCUGACUGUUUAGAAGAAAGAUAUUGCCACAAUCUCUGGAUGGUUUUCCAGGGUUGUGUUAUUACUGAGCUUCAUCUUUCCAGAAUGAGCAAAACACUGUCCAGUCUUUGUUACGAUUUUGUAAUAAAUGUGUACAUUUUUUUUAAAUUUUUGGACAUCACAUGAAUAAAGGUAUGUAUGUACGAAUGUGUAUAUAUUAUAUAUAUGACAUCUAUUUUGGAAAAUGUUUGCCCUGCUGUACCUCAUUUUUAGGAGGUGUGCAUGGAUGCAAUAUAUGAAAAUGGGACAUUCUGGAACUGCUGGUCAGGGGACUUUGUCGCCCUGUGCACUAAAAGGGCCAGAUUUUCAGCAGCCAAGGACAUCCAUACCCAAGUGAAUGUGAUGGGACUUAAAAGAAGUGAACUGAGACAAUUCACUCUGGCUGUUUGAACAGCAGCGUUUCAUAGGAAGAGAAAAAAAGAUCAAUCUUGUAUUUUCUGACCACAUAAAGGCUUCUUCUCUUUGUAAUAAAGUAGAAAAGCUCUCCUC